rnacentral:lncRNA from 1 species
AACCAUUUGAUUUAGAACUUAUUCUUGUAUGUUGAUUGAGAGUGCACGCUUAAUUUGCAUGCUUGAAUUGGAUGCUAGGAUAUAAAUUUGUUUCACCUAAUCGUUAUGAAUUUAUAUUCGUAAGUAGUGAAGGUUGCUAGUCACGUUCGUGUUAAGUAGAUUCCUGGCAAGAGUAUCAUGCUUUUCAUAGUUACGAAUGCCUUGUUGAUGCUUAUGAUUUCCAAAGAACGUAAUGAUUCUAACUUGUGUCUGUAUCAUGCUGUUCAUAUAAAGAACUUGUUAGGAAUAAUUUGUUUGCGAUGCAUAUUCAUCCAAUUCAAUGAUCCUAGGAAAUCUGAAGGUUAAUUUAAGCGGACCUAAUUAACUUGGAGUGUCGAGGUUCAUAACUUAUUGAAUUGAU